rnacentral:rRNA from 1 species
CGCGGCCCCGCAACAAGCCUAGUCGCCACGCGCCGCCGGCGCGGCUUCGGCGGCUCCGGGUUGUCGGCCCAGUACACCUGCAUCUCCUCACGCGUGAUGGUGGUGCUCCGCCUCUUCUACCUCGACUCCGACGUUGAUGGUACUCCGCCUAGGGUUUCUGCGCCGUGUUACUCCGUCGAGUAUGAGUGGACAACACCGUGAUGCGAGUGAUUUCUCUCAACAAUUUUCUUAGUCAGAUCGAUCUACAACACAUACGCAUUGCAAUUAUGAGAAAUCCAUCAAUAUGCAGAUGAAGCCUUAAGAAUUAUUUAAGUCAUUGUAAUUAUAUAUAUCAUGGUGAGGGCCCUUCCGCUGUAAAAAUGUGCACAGCACAAUCUCAAAUUUUAUGCAAAAGCUCAGAUGGCAAUAGUUCCUACACUCAUGUUAUCCAAUAUAAACUGUUGAAUGAUUGAUACAAUUUGAAGUUUUUUUAUUUUUUGAAAUACAGGUACUUCUCAAUUUUUGUACUAAUUUUCUAUUUUGGGGAAAGCCACAUAUGUUUCCAACAAUAGAAUGAUGUGUGAUGGUCAUCACACAAACUCCUGGCCAGGGCACACUAAGGUGGUGGGAAGAUACAUACAACCGUUAACUUGACGGCUAAGCGAUCAGAUGCGGCGAUUGUGUGAGUGUGUCAGGUUACAGAAACUUGAUUGUUCCAAGUCAAUGUUGUUGGCACUAAAACCUAAAAGACUACUGGUGCCAAGCUGGAUUUGCUAGGAGAUUGCAAGAUAAAUCGGUGAUGCAUCGUCAGAUGUUGAUUGCAAGGUCAAGAACAUGGGUGCAACUAGAUAGUUUCACAUUGUGUUUCAGAAUGUCAUUUUCAUUGUCGAUGUGUCAAUCAUUAUGAUUCAGGCAUUUUCGGUGUCAAUGUUUAGAUCAUUAUGUUUCAAAAUGGCUGAGACGUUGGUUGCAAGAUCAAGAAUAGGACCAGUACUAGUUUCACAUCUUGUAAUCUUUGUAUCCAGAUCCUUGUAAUGCAACCAAGUUGACUUAAUAUAUGAG